GUCGCGGCGAGCGGGCACCGCGGGGCCGAAGAGGAGAUGCAGGGGGGAGCCGGGCGCGCCCCCCUUUCACUCAUAGCCGCAGAGAGAGCGAGGGAGAGAGAAUUGCCCCCAACCAGGCAGCAAAAUGCUGGGUUUAGAAGACUGCGAGCCAGUUUCCUGCAUACAACUAUAAUUAAUUUACGUGCAGAGAUCAAAGAUCCGAGGGCGAAGGAAAUGAUUGAUUCCGCCAGAAAAUGCUUCCCUGGCACAGCCCACGGACAGCCGCCACCCACGGCAGGUCCAGUGAUGUGCUGUUCACCUACCACCCUGCAUGGUGGCCCUCCCCCAGUGGUCCUCUGGUCCCCUCCACCAAGUUCCCUGAACACACUGGAUGCCAAACACCUUUUCAAGGCAGUGGUGCACAGUGCUUUGGUCCCUCCAUCUUCAACAGAUGAAGCAAAGAGAUUAAAAAGGAUAGCACGGUUCCAGGCUGAAACUCCACUUGCUGUAUUUAUGUUGUGCAACUUUAUGCAGGCCC
rnacentral:lncRNA from 1 species